rnacentral:lncRNA from 1 species
GACUUUUCUGAAUUCUGGUUGACUUUUCUGCACUGCAACCGUUUGAUCUUCAACCUUUCUUUCCUUUUCUUGAGUCUAAGACUUUCAUCUUCAACUCCAUUCUUCACUUUCUCAAAAAUGCUACAAAACNAGACGUGAAUCAAAAAGAAAAACAACUAAAGUUGCCAAGAUUUGAAAGAGCACCAAGGACUCUUCCAAACUUGGACUUUAUAAAGGCCUUUUACAAACCAAAAGAAAANAAAAGAAGGCUAACAGAAGCCUAUUACAAAUUAAAUCUAAAGCUACCAGUGGGCUAACACAAACCCAAUAGAAAUACAAACAAAACAAAAAAAAAUUGAAACUAUUCUACUGCUCCUCAGCUACGGUCCAAAUCUUUUUGUACCCACAUUCUCGUGCCACGUUUGGUUGCUUCUUGACAGUUUCUGGACAACUUCGAUAUGCUCUUGCUUACUUCUACAUCAUCAGUGAUCUGNAGUCUCCUAACUAGUCCAAUCCUACCAAUACAACCAAUACACAUGCACAGUUUAAUAUUCUCUUGUUUAAAACAGAUGGAACCAAAGAAGAUAUAGGGCAGUAAGAACUUCCCUGUCUUAAUGAGCUUGUACACUUGAUGCAACUAGGAAUUUUGUUUUCUUUCCACGAAAAAUUGUU